rnacentral:rRNA from 1 species
GUCGAGGGGUAACAGGGGUUGCUUGCAACCCGCUGACGACCGGCGCACGGGUGCGUAACGCGUAUGCAACCUACCUUCUACAGGGGGAUAGUCAAUAGAAAUGUUGAAUAAUACCCCAUACGAUCAUUAAUCUGCAUGGAUUUAUGAGGAAAGUUCCGGCGGUAGAAGAUGGGCAUGCGUCCUAUUAGUUAGUUGGUAAGGUAACGGCUUACCAAGACGUCGAUAGGUAGGGGUCCUGAGAGGGAGAUCCCCCACACUGGUACUGAGACACGGACCAGACUCCUACGGGAGGCAGCAGUGAGGAAUAUUGGACAAUGGAGGCAACUCUGAUCCAGCCAUGCCGCGUGCAGGAAGACGGCCCUAUGGGUUGUAAACUGCUUUUAUACAGGAAGAAUUGUACCUACGUGUAGGUAUUUGACGGUACUGUACGAAUAAGGAUCGGCUAACUCCGUGCCAGCAGCCGCGGUAAUACGGAGGAUCCAAGCGUUAUCCGGAAUCAUUGGGUUUAAAGGGUCCGUAGGCGGUCUGAUAAGUCAGAGGUGAAAUCCUGCAGCUCAACUGUAGCAUUGCCUUUGAUACUGUUAGACUUGAGUUAUUGUGAAGUAGUUAGAAUGUGUGGUGUAGCGGUGAAAUGCAUAGAUAUCACACAGAAUACCGAUUGCGAAGGCAGA